rnacentral:rRNA from 1 species
GAAAGGUUUUUCUAAAAAUACCUGAGUAGUAACAGAUAUAUUCUAAAAAUUUGAAAAAUUUGGCGGUGGUUUAGUCUUGUCAAAGGAACCUGUCUUUUAAACGAUACACCACGAAAUAUCUUACUUGAGUUCGUGCAGUAUGUAUACCAUCAUUAUUAGGUAAUUUUUAUAGAAUAAAUUACUGAAAAAUGUCCAUAAUGUUGAAUAUAUUAGAUCAAGGUGCAGCUAAUGCUCAAGUUAAGAUGGGUUACAAUAGUAUUUAUACUAUUACGGAUAAGUAAGUGAAACUUUACUUUGAAGGAGGAUUUGAUUGUAAUUUUAGUUUAAUAAGCUAAUUUGAUAUAAGCUCUAAAGCAUGUACGCACCGCCCGUCACCCUCUAAA